UCCAGUUGAUCCUGCUGGAGGGUACUGCUAUCGGAGUUCGAUUAAGCCAUGCAAGUCUACUCAUCCACUUGGGUGGGUGGCAAACGGCUGAGUAACACGUAGUCAAUCUGCCCUGAGGACGGGUAUAACCUUGGGAAACUGAGGCUAAUUCCCGAUAGGCGAUAGAAUCUGGAAUGAUCUAUCACCUAAAUGGCUGGCGAAUUGGAGCCAGACCGCCUUAGGAUGAGACUGCGGUUGAUUAGGUAGUUGGUGGGGUAACGGCCCACCAAGCCGAUAAUCAAUAGGGGCCAUGGGAGUGGUGGCCCCCAGAAGGGUACUGAGACAAGGACCCUAGCCCUACGGGGUGCAGCAGGCGCGAAACCUCUACAAUGCGCGAAAGCGUGAUAGGGGGACUCCGAGUGGCGAGGACUUAGUUCUCGUCUUUUGCGAAGUGUAAACAGCUUCGAGAAUAAGGGUGUGGGCAAGACUGGUGGCAGCCGCCGCGGUAACACCAGUGCCUCAAGUGGUACCCACGAAUAUUGGGCCUAAAGCGUCCGUAGCUGGAUUGAAAAGUCCGCUGUGAAAUAUUGGAGCUUAACUUCAAUGCGCGCAGUGGAUACUUUCUGUCUCGGGAACGGGGGAGGUUCGGGGUACUUCCAGGGUAGGAGUAAAAUCUUUUGAGCCUGGAAGGACCACCAGUGGCGAAGGCGCCGAACCAAAACGUGUCCGACAGUGAGGGACGAAAGCUGGGGGAGCGAACGGGAUUAGAUACCCCGGUAGUCCCAGCCGUAAAUGAUGCUGACUGUGGUGUUGCCUAUGAGUAAUCAUAAGCAGUGCUGUAGCGUAGGUGUUAAGUCAGCCGCCUGGGGAGUACGAUCGCAAGAUUGAAACUUAAAGGAAUUGGCGGGGGAGCACCACAAGCCGUGGAUGCUACGGUUUAAUUGGAUACAACGCCGGAAAUAUCACCAAGGGCGACGGCAGGAUGAAGGUCAGACUAAAGAUCUUGCCUGACGAGCCGAGAGGUAUUGCAUGGCCAUCGUCAGCUCGUGGUGUGAACUGUCCAGUUAAGUCUGGCAACGAGCGAGACCCAUACCUUUAGUUACUAACUUUUCCUCCGGGAAAGGUGUACUCUAGAGGGACUGCCCGUGCUAAAUGGGAGGAAGGAGUGGGCGACGGUAGGUCAGUAUGGUCCGAAACCCUUGGGCUACACGCGGCAUACAGUGGUCGGAACAACGGGCUGCCGCUCCGAAAGGAGUAGCUAAUCCCUUAAAUCCGAUCGUGGUCCGGAUCGAGGGUUGAAACUCACCCUCGUGAAGAUGGAAUGGCUAGUAAUCGCGGGUCACUAUCCCGCGGUGAAUGUGUCCCCGCUCCUUGCACACACCGCCCGUCAAGUCAUCCAAAUGUUUUUUCGGUGAGACCCUGGUUUAUUGCCAGGUUCGAACCGAGAGGACGUGAGGGGGGCUAAGUCGUAACAAGGUA
rnacentral:rRNA from 1 species